rnacentral:tRNA from 1 species
GGUCACGUCGUCUAGUGGUUAGGACUCCAGGUUUUCAUCCUGGCAAUCGAGGGUUCGAAUCCCUCCGUGAUCACCA